UAAGAAUUUGGAACAUCAAUGUUCGAUAUAAGCUUGACGAGGAUCUGAAAACUCUGAAGGUGUUUCCAAUACCGCUUCACGAUGCAAGUGGUUCAACUUUGCACUAUGAUCGUCUCAGCGUAUCCCCUGAUGGAAAGAUACUGGCAGCAACUCACGGUCCAACAUUGCAGUGGCUAUGUCUGGAAACAGGAAAGGUGUUGGAUACUGCCGAGAAAGCGCACCAUGAUAAUAUUACAUGGAUUUCGUGGUCACUGAAGCCUAUGCCAUUAGGUAA